rnacentral:rRNA from 1 species
UACGGAGGAUGCAAGCGUUAUCCGGAAUGAUUGGGCGUAAAGCGUCCGCAGGUGGCUGUGUAAGUCUGCUGUUAAAGAGUGAGGCUCAACCUCAUAAAAGCAGUGGAAACUACACAGCUAGAGCGCGUUCGGGGCAGAGGGAAUUCCUGGUGUAGCGGUGAAAUGCGUAGAGAUCAGGAAGAACACCGGUGGCGAAGGCGCUCUGCUAGGCCGCAACUGACACUGAGGGACGAAAGCUAGGGGAGCGAAUGGG